UCGUAUUUUGAGAUAACUUGCUUUCUCUGCCCGCAGCACGGAGAGUUUGAGUGCCUGAACACAUGUGGAACCCAGCACAGUGUGAUCAGGAGAGGGCCUGUCACAUGCUCUAAAUCCUUGUGCAAAUCUGAAGCAGAAUCCUCAUGCUGCAGUAAAUGGUUGCCCAGCCCAUGCUACCUUUCACAUCCACAUGCAGUUGGUCUUCUGGAAGGGAUGUGUGGAAUAGAAAUAGUGAAGUUGUAACACCAGAGAAGCCCAGAGGGGAAAAAGGUACUGAUGACAAAUUCCCCUGAAAGCUCAGACAUUAUUCCUUGGGAAAAGUGAGUGUCAGGAGCCUGGUUAUGGAGCCAUGGGGCCAUUUAUGGACAGCCUUUGCUGGAGGAAUGCUCCUGCUAGGAAGUGACUGACUUGAGCACUGAUGGCAGAGGUGGUGAAUCCAGAGACUCAGAGCCUGAGGAGUUUCAGGAUCUUCUCAGGUUACAUUUCUAGAGGAAGGAACUAACUUUCUCUCUACAUGCAUUCGUGGCUCUGGUCACAACGAGGUGGAAGAUGCAGGUGAAACCCACAGUCAUAUUGGCAGCUGCAUCCCAAAUUAGCCAAAGGAAAGCAAGUACUUGAAGCUCAGGACAGGAUGUGGCUGCCCUGAGGUAAAUCCUGAGUGCUUUCACAGCAACCCCUGUCCUCAGGACAGCCCUGACAGGUAACAUCAAGGCUGACCAUGCCAGGGAACUCGGAUUCAAGAAUCCAGACCAAAUACCAUCAUGUUUUGCCAUGUUCUUUCACAUGUUCAUAUUCUCUAAGAAUAUGAGGAGUUGUGUUCAUUGAUCUUAAUUCUCCUUCUCUAGACACAAGAAAAAUGUUCUGUUUCAGUCCCUUGCUCCCUGCAUUCCCAUUGCUGCUUCUCCCAGAAAUUGUAAAAAUACCUUUUCAGUAAAGCAUCUUGUGGUUCCUGUUUCAUCCUACAUUCACAUAAAAGCUUGAUCGUGUCCAAAGAAUUAGGAAGAUGCCUGAAAAUCCCUCUUAUGUGUUCUAUAUGUAAACUCUGUUUUUCCUGUUUUGCUUGGUAUUUCUGCCUGAAGGCAUCAGGAGAAAUCCAGAGGUCAUCUGUUAAAGAAACAAGGCAAGAAAAGAAAGCAAUUGACCAGCAAAGAGGCACCUUCUUAAGUAAAACAGCCAGGUGCAGAGCUGUGGGAAGAAACUUCCCAGUCCCUGUACUGGAAAAGAACUGCUAAGGCUGGGAAAAGGGAAAUGGAAGGACACACAAACACCUGUUAAAAGCUCUGCCAUCUGUAAAAGCAGGGACACAUUCUGCAUGCUUGGAGGUGCUCUGGGGUAAGAAAGGCAAGGCUGCCCUUUCAUGAGGGGAAACACUGACAAGACAGGGACUGACACAGAGAAGUCUCCUCUGUGGUUCUGUGCUUGAAGAUGGGAAAGCACAAACACCUCAGCCACAGUCAGGCAGAGUUCAGCUGUGUUGUGGGGAAGGUCAGCUGGAGGGAGAGACAGAGCAGAAAAUGGCCCAAGGCAACAAAUGAGCAGCAAUGGCAACUGCAAGAGCUCCAGAAAGCAAAAAGAAGCAAAUCCAGAGAUGGGGGCUCCAGCUGAUGUGUCUCUGGCUAUUCAGACCAGUGUUGCUGAGAUGAAAAAGAAACAGUCUGAAAGAAAAGUCUCCUGUGCAUGCAGAGACACUUUUGUUCAAUACAUCUCAAAAAAUAUUUUAGAGAAUAGACAUAAAAUACUUCUAAAAAUGUACUGAACACACAAAACACAUCUCUUGUCCAAGAUCAAAAGAAAUAUGUUUUUCCAGUCACAAUGAAGCAAAGGGUAUAAAAAGCUGUAUUUCAGUCAUCAUUAUUACAUGUAUUUUCUUUCCAGCAGCGGACUGGAAAACUGGAUCCCAUAUAAGCCAGGUGGCACUGAGAAAACAAUCUCCUCAGAACCAGAUUCUUCUGCUAGUAGGAUGCUGUGUCUCUGCAGAAAAAAAAAAAAAAAAAUAAAAAGCAAACCACUUUCCCUCAUACAGGAAUGGUAUUUCUAAAGUGCCACAGUCCUACUGCUGGAUCUGAGCUCUGCUAGCACAACAGAAAUUUACAGUAUUCUACAUCCCAGAGCUGGCAGCAGCAUUUGGGCACCAGCUGGUAACCACACAUCUGGCAUGGAGCGUGCUAGGGAUGCUCUGCUGGAAUUAGAGUAACUAAUUUGCUUUUUCCAGUAGCCUCCCAAUAUGACCCUGAGGGAGGAGCUGACUGGUAGAGAAGCCAGCAAGGUGGCUGCUGUCAAAGUGAACCUUCUGGUUCUUUCCUUUUUAUAACUCCUCAAUACCUUCUGAAUUUGUCUCAUAAGUUAAUCAUGAAGUGAUUAAAUCCCAGGAAGAAGAGAAGUAUACCCUGUAACUUCUGCAACAGCAAAGGAAGGGUUGGUAGCCAGAUUCUCCUCUCUGUCUCCAUGACCACAAAAAGUAAAGGGCAACUGGGCCAGGGGAAAUUAAUUAUUUCAGCCAAGUGACACUGAACAGUCAAAACAAACAAUGGCUUUGGAAAGGAACUCCAGUUAUGUGCUUACAUUGGUGAGCAAUCCCAUCCUAGCUGCUAGGGAACAGCUGUGAAC